AUGGUCGUUUGUUCCCUACUAUUUUUAUUUCGUGGGAUUUCCAUUUUUGUUUUAUAAUUUUAUGAGGCUUUGGAUCAGUUUUGUUUAUGCCAUUUUAGAAGCACAGUUACAGUUCUUCCUCAUUGAGGAAGUUUUGUAUGAAACUUAUCAAAUUCGUUAUUUGAAAGGAUGGAAAUAUUUACAAGAUACUCGCUAUCAGCAAGAUAUAGGAAAAUCGUUACGUCUUUGUAUCGCUCACCAUAACGCUUUGAAAAAGUCUUGACUGUACUUAUGAAAUCGAUAUUUUUAAGUUUGCAAAUUACUUACAGGUUGUUGAAAAUGGUUGUGAAUGUAACAAUGACAACCAUGCCGUUUUUUCUGGUAUUUGGAGUUUUACUUCUCAUCAGUUCGUUCGCAUUCAUCAUAAAUUUUGCCGACACUAUGACCAACAUUUUAAAAAUACGCAUGUUUAUGUUUGCCUUAAGCAUUAUGUGUGUCGCUGUAGUGCUGUGUUGGAUUGGUCAACAAGUGAUAGAUGUGACGAGUAAAAUUUUUUUUGCGUUAGUCGGAGCUCCUUGGUACUUUUGGAAUGCUGCAAACAUUAAAAUUCUUUUGAUGUUUAUAACGAACUGUACCCAAAACGAUAGUAUUGUUUUGGCCGGGAUUUGUUUAGAUUACAAUCUGUUUGUUACCGUACGUACAUCA